rnacentral:rRNA from 1 species
GAUGAACGCUGGCGGCGUGCCUAAUACAUGCAAGUCGAGCGAAUGGAUUAAGAGCUUGCUCUUAUGAAGUUAGCGGCGGACGGGUGAGUAACACGUGGGUAACCUGCCCAUAAGACUGGGAUAACUCCGGGAAACCGGGGCGAAUACCGGAUAACAUUUUGAACCGCAUGGUUCGAAAUUGAAAGGCGGCUUCGGCUGUCACUUAUGGAUGGACCCGCGUCGCAUUAGCUAGUUGGUGAGGUAACGGCUCACCAAGGCAACGAUGCGUAGCCGACAUGAGAGGGUGCUCGGCCAGACUGGGACUGGGACACGGACCAGACUCCGACGGGCGGUAGCAGUAGGGAAUCUUCCGCAAUGGACGAAAGUCUGACGGAGCAACGCCGCGUGAGUGAUGAAGGCUUUCGGGUCGUAAAACUCUGUUGUUAGGGAAGAACAAGUGCUAGUUGAAUAAGCUGACACCUUGACGGUACCGAACCAGAAAGCCACGGCUAACUACGUGCCAGCAGCCGCGGUAA